GGGUGCUUACACAUGCAAGUCGAACGAUGAACACCAGCUUGCUGGUGGGAUUAGUGGCGAACGGGUGAGUAACACGUGAGUAACCUGCCCUUGACUCUGGGAUAAGCGUUGGAAACGACGUCUAAUACCGGAUAGGACUCCUGGCCGCAUGGUCUUGGGGGUGGAAAGAUUUUCUGGUCAAGGAUGGACUCGCGGCUAUCAGGUUGUUUGGUUGAGGUAAUGGCUCACCAAGCCGACGACGGGUAGCCGGCCUGAGAGGGUGACCGGCCACACUGGGACUGAGACACGGCCAGACUCCUACGGGAGGCAGCAGUGGGGAAUCAUUUGCACCAAUUGGGCGCAAGCCUGAUGCAAGCAAACGCCGCAGUGAGGGACGACCGGCCUUCGGGUAGUAAAACCUCUUUAAGUAAGUGGACAUGACAGCGACAAC
rnacentral:rRNA from 1 species